UAUGGUAUUGCUCAGUGGAAGAGCACAUAGUUAACGGUAGAAUACAGAAAAUAUGAGGUCCUAGGUUUGAUUCCUAGCACCAAAA
rnacentral:tRNA from 1 species